rnacentral:lncRNA from 1 species
UGUUGGAAUUAUAUUCUAAUAAUCUAAACUUGAAAUAAAUAAAUUAGUAUAAUCACUAAUUGUUUUAUUAGUAGAGGAUAAGUUAGAGAAAUUGUGGGAGAGUAUUGGAUUAGUAAUGAGUGUUUUUAGGAUCAUGGAGUAGUAGAGUUUAGUUUCAGGUGGACACUAGUUAGUUGCUAUCACUUUGUUGGGUAGCCUUUAUAUAUUAUGUGAUGUAUCUCUUUUAAUAUAUCAGGAGAAAUACAAUGUAGUCUUUGGAGUUCAUUUGCUCUUGUACAUAUAUAUUCAUCUUGUUUAAUUUGAAGUCAUCAGUUUUAUAGUUUAUUUCUACA